rfam:Trichobilharzia regenti genome assembly, scaffold: TRE_contig0011413
GUACUAUUGAAGAGUCCCAAACUAGGAUGAAACAGCUGUCCAGUAC